AUUGAACGCUGGCGGCAGGCCUAACACAUGCAAGUCGAACGGUAACAGGAAGAAGCUUGCUUCUUUGCUGACGAGUGGCGGACGGGUGAGUAAUGUCUGGGAAACUGCCUGAUGGAGGGGGAUAACUACUGGAAACGGUAGCUAAUACCGCAUAACGUCGCAAGACCAAAGAGGGGGACCUUCGGGCCUUUUGCCAUCGGGUGUGCCCAGAUGGGAUUAGCUAGUAGGUGGGGUAACGGCUCACCUAGGCGACGAUCCCUAGCUGGUCUGAGAGGAUGACCAGCCACACUGGAACUGAGACACGGUCCAGACUCCUACGGGAGGCAGCAGUGGGGAAUAUUGCACAAUGGGCGCAAGCCUGAUGCAGCCAUGCCGCGUGUAUGAAGAAGGCCUUCGGGUUGUAAAGUACUUUCAGCGGGGAGGAAGGGAGUAAAGUUAAUACCUUUGCUCAUUGACGUUACCCGCAGAAGAAGCACCGGCUAACUCCGUG
rnacentral:rRNA from 1 species